AUCCAGCAGACCCUCCCUCCCAGACCCUCCCACCUCCUGGACAGCAUCCAUGUUGAAGGCAGCUUCAACAUGGAUGCUGUCCAGGAGGUGGGAGGGUCUGGGAGGGAGGGUCUGCUGGAU
rnacentral:miRNA from 1 species